rfam:Nostoc punctiforme PCC 73102, complete genome.
GCCCUUGUAGCCCAACGGAAGAGGCACUUCGCCUAGAACGAAGAGGAUGCUGGUUCAAAUCCAGUCAGGGGUA